rnacentral:rRNA from 1 species
AUUCCAGCUCUGUAAGCGUAUACCAAAGUUGUUGCAGUUAAAACGCUCGUAGUCGAAACUUGGCGGAUGAAUUGCUUAGUCCUCACGGAUGUUAGCGAGUCAGCCGCCUUAGUGGAGGGCGGUCUAGUGGUCCUUUACUGGAUUGUUGGAUUGCUGCCACCAUUUACUGUGAAAAAAUUAGAGUGUUCAAAGCAGGCGUUUGCCGUGAAUACAUUAGCAUGGAAUAAUAGAAUAGGACCUGGUUUCUAUUUUGCUGGUUUGUUAUAAUCGGGUAAUGAUUAAGAGGGAUGGUUGGGGGCAUUUAUAUUCCAGCGCUAGAGGUGAAAUUCUUGGAUUGUUGGAAGAUAAACAGCUGCGAAAGCGUCUGCCAAGGACAUUUUCAUCG